rnacentral:lncRNA from 1 species
GUGACAGGAGCACUGUAUGUGUUGGCGCUGCAAAGCACAGCGUUGCUCAUGUACAGCACUACUUCUGGUGACAUAAUCCUUUGCGUGGCGCCUUAUUCUGAGAGUAGCUGAAUGAGAACGAGGCACCUCACAAAGGAUGAUGUGGCUGCACAAUGGAAGAUGUCAGCAUGGUGAGCGGUGAUCUGGGGGAGGGGAUUCCACACUGUGUAUACUGCUGCCCGGUAUAGUGGUGGUGGUGAUGGGCCUGUGCAAGGUGUGACAGGCCCAUCCCAGCCAGCGCUGUAGCCUCCCCUAUCCCAGACAGCGGUAUAAAGAUUUGUUCAUAGUCCGACCCUCCAACGGUCUGAGGGACAGUGAACUGGCCCCCUGUGUAAAAAGUUUGGGGACCUCAGAUCUAGAUCGUUGGCUGGAACCCUCAAGGGCCUGGGGAAAGGGUGCUCCAGAGAGCAAAGUAACUAGAACUCCUAAGCUGUCUCCUCAAGAUGGGUGGAGCUUUAUUCUGCUGAGCUCCAGAAAGCAAAACCCUAAGCUGUGGCAUCAGCUGCCUUGGGAGGCAUUUCAAAGAAAACAGAAAUCCAAUCCCAAAGAGAAGCAGCAGCCACAGGACUCUCCUGCUAGACACAACUUGAAAGCUGCUGCCUCACUCCUUCACUCAAGAGCCCCAAAUACAGUGGACCCCUUCCUCCUAGCACUCGUUCUAACAUGUCAAAGCAGGAACUGGAAGAGAUGA